rnacentral:rRNA from 1 species
UACGGGGGGAGCAAGCGUUGUCCGGAAUUAUUGGGCGUAAAGGGCUCGUAGGCGGUUUGUCGCGUCGGGAGUGAAAACCUUGGGCUUAACUCAGGGCUUGCUUUCGAUACGGGCAGACUAGAGGUAUGCAGGGGAGAACGGAAUUCCUGGUGUAGCGGUGAAAUGCGCAGAUAUCAGGAGGAACACCGGUGGCGAAGGCGGUUCUCUGGGCAUGAUCUGACGCUGAGGAGCGAAAGUGUGGGGAGCGAACAGG